rnacentral:rRNA from 1 species
UACGUAGGGUGCGAGCGUUGUCCGGAAUUACUGGGCGUAAAGAGCUCGUAGGUGGUUUGUCGCGUUGUCCGUGAAAACUCACAACUCAAUUGUGGGCGUGCGGGCGAUACGGGCAGACUGGAGUACUGCAGGGGGAGACUGGAAUUCCUGGUGUAGCGGUGGAAUGCGCAGAUAUCAGGAGGAACACCGGUGGCGAAGGCGGGUCUCUGGGCAGUAACUGACGCUGAGGAGCGAA